GGGCCCGCACAAGCAGUGGAGCAUGUGGUUUAAUUCGAUGCAACGCGAAGAACCUUACCAGGGUUUGACAUCCUGCGAAUCUCUUGGAAACGAGAGAGUGCCUUCGGGAACGCAGUGACAGGUGGUGCAUGGCUGUCGUCAGCUCGUGUCGUGAGAUGUUGGUUAAGUCCCGCAACGAGCGCAACCCACGUCGUUAGUUGCCAGCAUUUUAGUUGGGGCACUCUAGCGAGACCCGCCGGUGAUAAACCGGAGGAAGGUGUGGAUGACGUCAAGUCAUCAUGCCCCUUACAUCCUGGGCUACACACGUACUACAAUGGUAGGUACAGAGAGCAGCCAAUGCGCGAGCAUGAG
rnacentral:rRNA from 1 species